rnacentral:rRNA from 1 species
AUUGAACGCUGGCGGCAGGCCUAACACAUGCAAGUCGAACGGUAACAGGCAGCAGCUUGCUGGUUUGCUGACGAGUGGCGGACGGGUGAGUAAUGUCUGGGCAACUGCUCGCUGGAGGGGGAUAACUACUGGAAACGGUAGCUAAUACCGCAUAACGUCGCAAGACCAAAGAGGGGGAGCUUAUGGCCUCUUGUCAUCGGAUGUGCCCAGAUGGGAUUCGCUAGUAGGUGGGGUAACGGCUCACCUAGUCGAAGAGCUGUCUCUGGUGUGAGAGGAUGACCGCCCGCACUGGAAGGGAGACACGGUCAAGACGCCUACGGGAGGCAGCAGUGGGGAAUAUGGGACAAUGGGCGCAAGCCUGAUGCAGUCAUGCCGCGUGUAUGAAGAAGGCCUUCGGGUUGUAAAGUACUUUCAGCGGGGAGGAAGGGAGUAAGGUUAAUACCUUGGCUCAUUGACGUUACCCGGAGAAGAAGCACCGGCUAACUCCGUG